rnacentral:rRNA from 1 species
UACGGGAGGCAGCAGUGGGGAAUAUUGCACAAUGGGCGAAAGCCUGAUGCAGCUAUGCCGCGUGUAUGAAGAAGGCCUUAGGGUUGUAAAGUACUUUCAUCGGGGAGGAAAAACAAAACUAAUAAUUUUAUUUCUUGACGUUACUCGAAAAAGAAGCACCGGCUAACUCCGUGCCAGCAGCCGCGGUAAUACGGAGGGUGCUAGCGUUAAUCAGAAUUACUGGGCGUAAAGAGCACGUAGGUGGUUUUUUUAAGUUCAGAUGUGAAAUCCCUGGGCUUAACCUGGAACUGCAUUUUGAAACUGAAAUACUAGAGUAUCGUAGAGGGAGGUAGAAUUCUAGGUGUAGCGGUGAAAUGCGUAGAUAUCUGGAGGAAUACCUGUGGCGAAAGCGGCCUCCUAAACGAAUACUGACACUGAGGUGCGAAAGCGUGGGGAGCAAACAGGGAUUAGAUACC